UGAAUAGAGUCGUGAUAAUAAUUAGGAGUAAUACGGUUCACCUCUUAAGUUGUUAGUUUCAAUCCACUAAAUUUUUUUUUUUUCCUUGAUCUGAAGUCUGGCAGCAUCUUCCAGUGGGACAUUUGGAGGGAGUCCAUCUGCUUUUUUUGGUCAGGAAGUGUGCUGCGCCUGCCUUGUCUUGCUAAUUUGUUACAGUGCUUUGGAUGGUUUGAUUUUAAUGUCUUCCACCUAAAAGCACACACACAAAACCAGCCCACACUCAACAAACUCCAUCCAACAACCUCACUGCAGAGCCCUUGAGCAGAUGCAGUGAGUCCCAGGAGCCUGUAUCAAGCAUAUUUGGGGAGGUUGUGGCUUCAGAUACUUAUAUUGCAAUAGAACAAAUGGUGGGGGAAAAAAUGUAUGCGUGCAAGUGUAACUUGGUCCCCAUGCUGUACAGUGGAAAAAAAAAAAAGAAUUAUAUAAAAAAAAGAAAGAAAUUGAUAAGAGCCCAGGCAGGAAAUGCAGGCAAGGCUUUGUUGGGGCUCCUACUGCAGCACAAGGGAGUGAAAACAAGUGAAAGCUUUCUUUGCUUGCUCCCCCAAGGUGGGGCAAGCUGAUUCUUUAUAUGCGGUGAGGGUAGGGGUGGGUCUAGCGGGGGAGGCCGAAGGGGUGGCUUAGGUGGUCUGCCCACCCCCUUGGUGGUGCCGUGUGCAUGAAUAGUACCUUGCUUUUGCACCUGACUUCUCAGAAGUGACAGAUGAGUUUUUGGUCUUUUUGUUUCUUACUCAUAAUUUGCCCCAAGUGUGCAUGCAUGCAGUUAUUUUUCGUCCCUUGUAAUGUUUUUGUAUUUUGUUGCUCAAGGGGACGCAUUUAUCCAGGUGCAAGCAUUGCAGCAAAGGGUCCCAGGUCCCAGCCUGCAGGCCCUGCCUGUUGGCCAUGAGAGCCUUUUUGGGGAGGGGAAGGGAGUUUCAUUUAAGCACUUGUGAAUGGAGGCUGAGCCCCAGUGCGGCAUUCAUUACUUCCUUGGGAUAAAAAGAACUCUUCCAGUUCCCUAGAUAGUAGACCCAGAUCAUGAAGCUGACUUUAUACGUUAUUUAUUCCCCCCCCCCACUUUUUGUAAAAGUUUACUCCCCAUGGUUUCUUUUUCUUUUUUGGUUUUUUUUUUUUUUUUUUUGUGGCUGCCUCUGCAGCAUAUGCAAGUUCCUAGGCUAGGGGUGGAACUGGAGCUGAAGCUGCUGGCCUACAAGCAACUUGGGAUCCAAGCCUCAUCUGCGACCUACACCACAGCUCAGGGCAAUGCCAGGUCCUUAACCUGCUGAGCGAGGCCAGAGGUUGAACCCUCAUCCUCAUGGAUACGCGUCGGGUUUGUUUCUGUUGAGCCACAAUGAGAACUCCCUCUCCAUAGUUUCUUCAUGCCCCACCGUGGAGAAAUCUUUCUAAAUGAUAAAUAGUUUUUAGCAAGGAAGUAUUUUUUUUUUUUUUAAGUGUAUUCUUGAACAGUGAUUUGAAUGAAAGCAGGAUUCUGGGAAAAUUUAAAGCAACAGCAAAAUAGAUUUCAUAUAUUGUUAAAAGAUACCUCUUUGCCUUGGAUACCUCGGGGAGAAAAAAAAAAAUCUAAAUUUACAUUUUAUGGAAUUCCCAUUGUGGCACAGUGGAAAUGUAUCUGACUAGGAACCAUGAGUUUUCGGGUUCGAUCCCAUGCCUCGCUCAGUGGGUUAAGGAUCCGGCGUUGCCAUGAGCUGUGGUGUAGGUCGCAGAUGCGGCUCGGAUCCUGCAUUGCUGUGGCUGUGAUAUAGGCCGGCAGCUGUAGUUCUGCUUGGACCCCUAGCCUGGGAACCUCCAUAUGCCAUAGGUGUGGCCCUAAAAAGCAAGGUAUAUAAAUAAACUUACAUUUUCUAUGUGAAAGACAUACUAAUUUAUGUUAUUUUUAGAAGGAGUAGUGUAACAUUAAUUAUAUGAACAAAUUGAUAGGUUCUUAGAAUUUUUCCUGGCCACUGACAUGGUCCACAGUUGUUAUCUGCAACUAAGUGAUUCUCAUAACACAUCCUCUUCAUUUUUCUCAUAGGACUUCCUGGAACAAGAAGACUUUUGCCAGGUAGAGUUGAUAGAAGCGUCCUGCCAAGAAAACCUUGCAAUGACAACCUUUUUACUUUUAAAAGCACACCUUUUAAAAAGCUCUCUUGAACCUACAAAUAGAGCCCGUUUUACAAAGUUUAGCUGUUAGUCACAUUCUCUUUACUGGAAAACCAGGUGGAAUUGCUUUCACUUCAGAGGCUGGUGGAAGUGACAUUGAGAAAGGUUGUGAUUUGGUGGAAAUACUUGAUCAGUAUGAGGAAUUAGUAUGGGAUCCGUCAACGUAGCCAUUCCUAAAUAGGUGAUUUGGGGGGAGUUCCCGUUGUGGCUCGGAAGUAAUGAACCUGACUAAUAUCCAUGAGGAUGAGGGUUCGAUCCCUGGCCUCGCUCAGUGGGUUAAGGAUCCGUCAUUGCCCGAGAGCUGUGGUUUAGGUCACAGACACGGCUCAGAUCCCGUGUUGCUGUGGCUGUGGCAUAGGCUGGCAGCUGUAGCUCUGAUUCGACCCCUAGCCUGGGAACCUCCAUAUACUGUGGGUGUGGCCCUAAAAAGCAAAAUACAUAAAUAGGUGAUUUUUUAUUCUGUGGCUGUUUGUUUCCCAUCUGUGUUGGGAAGUGAGAAUUUUCCCUGCUCUGCAGGUGUACCAAGAUCCCCAGUUGUUUUCCUUUUCAAGGCUGGGAAGCUAAUUUCUUUCUUUUCUUUUUUUUUUUAAUAUUUACCUAUAUUUAGUCACUUUAUUAGGGAUUUUUAUUUCUUUGGAUGAAUUUGAGUGGCUCUCUAGUAUCUUUUAAUUUCACUCUGAAGGAUUCCUCUUAAUAUUUAUGGUAGGGCAGGUAGCUAAUUUCUUGCAGGAAAUGAUAACAUGAAAUCCUGGGCUCUUCUGAACAUGUGGGUGCUUUCUCUUCUUGCCCAAUUAAAAGGCCGAGCUGGUAGUUUUGUUUGGUGUAAUGGAACCGUGUAACAUUGUUGCUCUCAAAGAGUUUUGCCGAAGUCAGAAUGAUCUUAUUCACUACCAUGCCAAAUGGAUUUGGAACCUAUUUUUAGACGUGUUAAUAGUGGGGAUUUUAAUUACUUUAUUCAUUUUUAAAGGUUAUGUUGCGUGUGAGCUGCGUAUCCUUUUCUGUGUCCCACCAUCCUUUUGGCAAACUUGAAAAGACAUCUAGGACUUUCCGACCUCCCUCAGUGGUUAAUGAAUCCAGGAGGAUGCAGGUUCGAUCCCUGGCCUUGCUCAGUGAGUUAAGGCUUUGGCGUUGCCAUGAGCUGUGGUGUAGGUUGCAGAUCAGGAUCGGAUCCUGCAUUGCUGUGACUGUGGUGCAGGCCAGCAGCUACAGCUCCGAUUUGAUACCUGGCCUGGGAACCUCCAUAUGCCGCAGGUGCAGCCCUAAAAAGCAAAAAUACAAAGAAAAAAAGACAUCUCCUAAUCCCAAACUCUCAGUCCAUCUCUGCCCCAUGCCCCCUUCCCCUUGGCAACCACAAGUCUGUUCUCCAUGUCUGUGAGUCCCUUUCUGUUGUGUAGAUAGCUGUGACGUUUAGGAUGGAUCAGCAGCGAGGUCCAGCUGUACAGCACAGGGAACUAUACCCAAUCACUUGGGAUAGAGCAUGAGGGGGAAGCUAAUAGAAAAAGAAUGUGUAUGUAUAUACUGUGGACCUGGGACACUGCUCUACAGCUGAAAUGGACAGAACAUUGUAAAUCAACUACACUUGAACAAAAUAAAACAAACUUCCAAGACAAUACUACCCUUAGGAUACUCUAUUGAGGUACAGUGGAAUGUUUUUCUUUGCGUUUACUCUCUUGCUAAGAUUUGUGUGAUGUCUCUAGCUGAAAAUAAAGGGAUGAUGGGAGGUCUGGAGGACACCCCAAAUAAGCAGACAUGAGAGUCCUCUUUUGAGAGCUGUGUCUUGGGAAUGGCUUUUAUUUAGUGGCCUAAUGAGGACAUGCCUGUGUCUGCUGUUGAUGGACGAACUUUCAAAGUACCAGUUGCCUGCGAGUGAAUUUUUCAAGGGAUUUCCUAACUUUUUUUCCCCUCUGACUAGAGAAAAGUUAGGGCACAAGGGGAAGCUAUAUAUUAUUUUCUUGAUUCUUCCCUAAAGACAGUUUUGGGUACUUUGGAAAGAGAUAGUUAUCAAAUGGUCAUUCAUCCUUUGUUUGCCUUAAUUGAUGGCAGUGCCUCUUUGUCCCGCAGAGAAACACUCUCUUUAUGCCUUUCUGAUGCUGUAAUGACAACAAAGGAGGCAACUAAAGUGAUGUUCUCUGUAGGCAGGUAUUCCAGUUUAUGACAUCUUAUAAAACUUGCAAGAGCUGUUUAGUAAGAUAGGGGAAGUAGCGUAAGGAUGAAAGAUCGAUAUUUGAGGAGACGCAAUGAGAUCCUGCUGUAUAGCCCUGGGAACUAUAUCUAAGUCACUUAUGAUGGAGCAUGAUAAUGUGAGAAAAAAGAAUGUAUACAUGUAUGUGUGACUGGGUCGCCUUGCUGUACAGCAGGAAAUUGACAGACUACUGUAAACCAGCUAUAAUGGACAAACUAAAAAUCAUUAUUACCCAAAAAGGAUCAAUAUAUGAAGUGGGUUAUUAAUCUAAUUGGAUAUUUAGAGCAAAACAGGAGGUUUUCAGUGUAAGAUAAAUUUUAUGUACGUUCUGCUUCUGAAUGGUCACCUCAACCCUAAGUAGCAUUCCUCAGGAGGUGGCUUUUCUUGGAAAGGAUAUAUAUAUAUAUAUAUAUAUCUGUUUCUGGACUCGUUUCACACAAAUGUAGUGUCACCUGCUGCUCUUUGCCUGGGGUUGGAAUUUUUCCCUUUCACUGCUUGUCUCUUAGCCUCUGAAUGGAAAUGUGUCCUCCCUUUCAGAGCCAGAAGAUGCUGUGUAAUUCAUUAUGGUACGUUUUCUCCGAGGAAUUAUUAAUCCAGUUGCCCUGUAGUCCGUGGCUCAUACCACCAUGAUAAACCUCUGAAUUGGCAAUCUCUUCAAAAAACUUUUUUUCUUUUCAUCCAAAAAUGUAUAGAAUGGAUUUCUGAGCAG
rnacentral:lncRNA from 1 species